GAUGAACGCUGGCGGCGUGCCUAAUACAUGCAGGUCGAGCGAACGGACGAGAAGCUUGCUUCUCUGAUAUUAGCGGCGGACGGGUGAGUAACACGUGGAUAACCUACCUAUAAGACUGGGAUAACUUCGGGAAACCGGAGCUAAUACCGGAUAAUAUUUUGAACCGCAUGGUUCAAAAGUGAAAGACGGUCUUGCUGUCACUUAUAGAUGGAUCCGCGCUGCAUUAGCUAGUUGGUAAGGUAACGGCUUACCAAGGCAACGAUGCAUAGCCGACCUGAGAGGGUGAUCGGCCACACUGGAACUGAGACACGGUCCAGACUCCUACGGGAGGCAGCAGUAGGGAAUCUUCCGCAAUGGGCGAAAGCCUGACGGAGCAACGCCGCGUGAGUGAUGAAGGUCUUCGGAUCGUAAAACUCUGUUAUUAGGGAAGAACAUAUGUGUAAGUAACUGUGCACAUCUUGACGGUACCUAAUCAGAAAGCCACGGCUAACUACGUG
rnacentral:rRNA from 1 species